AUAUCCCUCCUACACAUGUGAUCAAGCAUUUACAACCCACAGCGAACAGUGAUAAACUAGAAACAUUCCAAACAUUGAUGCUGGGAAGCCCUGAAAGCUGUGAAAUCAAACUUUUUCAUCUUUGGGAAAGUCAGAAAAAUAGGUGUGACUUUGAGUGUCAGGGGAGUGAUGACAAAAUAAAUUACAAAGGCACACCUAUAAGCGUUUUUGGAAAUGUGCCUGAUGGAAGAGAUUCGUAUGAUAGGAAGGAUGCAGGCAUCAAGCCCUUUGGAAAGAGCUUUGGAUUUAACUUUCAGGAUAAACUGCAGAUGUUUCAAACUGGCAGAAUAAUUUCUGAAUAUAAUGAAGUUAAGAGUUCUGUCAACAACAGUUUCUCAUUUUCACCAGUUCAAAGAAUUCCUCCUUGUGUCCAAACCAGUGUUUCUAAUAUAUAUGGAAAUGAUUUCAUGAAUCCUUCAGGAAUAAGAGAAGAACUCAAAGCACACAGGGAAAAACCUUACAAAUGUGCUGAGUGUGGCAAGACCUUUACUCACAGCUCACACCUCAAGAGACAUAAGAAAAUUCAUACAGGAAAGAAAUUAUUUAAAUGUGAUAUAUGUGACAAAGUCUUCAGCCAAAAUUCAAACCUUGCUCGUCAUCAGAAGGUUCAUACUGGAGAGAAACCUUACAAAUGUGAUGAGUGUGGCAUGGCCUUUCAUGUAAAGUCAACCCUUUUAAGUCAUCUGACAGUUCAUACUGGUGAGAAACCAUACAAAUGUGAUGAGUGUGGCAAGGCCUUUCGUCUAAAGGUAACCUUUUUAAGUCAUCUGACAAUUCAUACUGGAGAGAAACCUUACAAAUGUCAUCAGUGUGGCACGGCAUUUCGUGUAAAGUCAAGCCUUUUAAGUCAUCAGACAGUUCAUACUGGAGAGAAACCUUACAAAUGUGAUGAGUGUGGCAAGGCCUUUUGUGUAAAGUCAACCCUUUUAAGUCAUCAGACAGUUCAUACUGGAGAGAAACCUUACAAAUGUGAUCAGUGUGGCAAGGCCUUUUGUGUGAAGUCAACCCUUUUAAGUCAUCAGACAGUUCAUACUGGAGAGAAACCUUACAAAUGUGAUGAGUGUGGCAAGGCCUUUCGUCUGAAGUCAAUCCUUUUAAGGCAUCAGACAGUUCAUACUGGAGAGAAACCUUACAAAUGUGAUGAGUGUGGCACAGCCUUUCGUCUAAAGUCAAACCUUUUAAGUCAUCAGACAGUUCAUACUGGAGAGAAACCUUACAAAUGUGAUGAGUGUGGCAAGGCCUUUGCUCAGAGCUCACACCUCAGGAAACAUAAGAAAAUUCAUACAGGAAAGAAAUUAUUUAAAUGUGAUAUAUGUGACAAACUCUUCAGCCAAAAUUCAACCCUUUUAAGUCAUCUGACAGUUCAUACUGGAGAGAAACGUUAUAUAUGUGAUGAUUGUGGCAAGGCCUUUUGUCUAAAGUCAACACUUUUAAGGCAUCAGACAGUUCAUACUGGACAGAAACCUUACAAAUGUGAUGAGUGUGGCACGGCCUUUCGUCUAAAGUCAAACCUUCUAAGUCAUCAGACAGUUCAUACUGGAGAGAGACCUUACAAAUGUGAUCAAUGUGGCAAGGCCUUUCGUCUAAAGGUAACCCUUUUAAAUCAUCAGACAGUUCAUACUGGAGAGAAACCUUACAAAUGUGAUCAGUGUGGCACGGCCUUUCGUGUAAAGUCAAGCCUUUUAAGGCAUCAGACAGUUCAUACUGGAGAGAAACGUUACAAAUGUGAUGAGUGUGGCAAGGCCUUUUUUGUAAAGUCAACCCUUUUAAGUCAUCAGACAGUUCAUACUGGAGAGAAACCUUACAAAUGUGAUGAGUGUGGCAAGGCCUUUUGUGUAAAGUCAACCCUUUUAAGUCAUCAGACAGUUCAUACUGGAGAGAAACCUUACAAAUGUGAUGAGUGUGGCAAGGUCUUUCGUCUAAAAUCAAGCCUUUUAAGGCAUCAGACAGUUCAUACUGGAGAGAAACCUUACAAAUGUGAUGAGUGUGGCAAGGCCUUUCGUGUAAAGUCAACCCUUUUAGGUCAUCAGAGAGUUCAUACUGGAGAGAAACCUUACAAAUGUGAUGAGUGUGGCAAGGCCUUUGCUCAGAGCUCACACCUCAGGAAACAUAAGAAAAUACAUACAGGAAAGAAAUUAUUUAAAUAUGAUAUAUGUGACAAACUCUUAGGCCAAAAUUCAACCCUUUUAAGUCAUCAGACAGUUCAUACUGGAGAGAAACGUUUUAUAUGUGAUGAGUGUGGCAAGGCCUUUUGUCUAAAGUCAACCCUUUUAAGGCAUCAGACAGUUCAUACUGCAGAGAAACCUUACAAAUGUGAUGAGUGUCGCAGGGCCUUUCAUGUAAAGUCAAUCCUUUUAAGGCAUCAGAGAGUUCAUACUGGAGAGAAACCUUGUGAUAAGUGUGGCAAGGCCUUUACUGACAGCUCAUACCUCAGGAGACCUAAGAACAUUCAUACAGGAAAGAAAUUAUUUAAAUGUGAUAUAUGUGACAAAGUCUUCGGCCGAAGUUCGAAGCUUGCUCGUCUUCAGACGGUUCAUACUAGAGAGAAACCUUACAAAUGUGGUGUUUUUGGAAUGGCCAUUGGUAUAAAGUCAACCCUUUUAAGGCAUCAGACAGUUCAUACUGGUCAGAAACCUUACAAAUGUGAUGAGUGUGGCAAGGCCUUUCGUGAAAAGUCAACCCUUUUAAGUCAUCAGACAUUUCAUACUGGAGAGAAACCUUACAAAUGUGAUCAAUGUGGCAAGGCCUUUCAUCUAAAGUCAACCCUUUUAAGGCAUCAGACAGUUCAUACUGGAGGGAAACCUUACAUAUGUGAUGAGUGUGGCAAGGCCUUUCAUCUAAAGUCAAACCUUUUAAGGCAUCAGACAGUUCAUGCUGGAGAGAAACGUUACAAAUGUGAUGAGUGUGGUGAGGCCUUUCCUGAAAAGUCAACCCUUUUAAGUCAUCAGACAGUUCAUACUGGUGAGAAACCUUACAAAUGUGAUGAGUGUGGAUAAGUCUUUGGUCAAAAACCACAUCUUCAACUUCACUGGAGAAUUCAUACUGGAAAGAGACCUUUCAGAUGUAAUGAGUGUGGCAAGUUCUUCUGUCAAAAUUCACACCUUACAAAACAUUGGAGAAUACAUAUAGAGAAACCUUUCAAAUGUUUCGAGUGUGGAAAAUCCUUUUCUCAGGUCUUAGCACUCACUAAACAUCAGAAAAUCUAUACAUGAGAGAAACUCAUGUGAAUGUGGUAUAUGGUAGAAGUCUUCAAAAUUCACACCCUACUGUUGCUCAGAGAAUUUAUCCUACUGAGAAACCAUACAAAUAUCAUGAGUGUGGCAACAUCUUAGGCUUUAUGAGAAAAUUCAUACUGGAUAGAAGCCAGAUAUAUAUGUAUUGAUUAGUCAGGUCUUUAGAACAUGAAUUCAUUCUAGAAAGAUUCCUCACCAAUUUCACAAAUGUUAAAAAA